UGACGUUAUAAGUACGUAGAUAGUUCAUAUUUAUUUUAAAUAUCAUUCGCAACUAUUCACUUAAAUCAUAUCAACUAUAUAGAUGUUAUUUGUGACCUAGUUCUGUUUUAUUAAAGAGUUCAAUCAAUAUCGAUAAGGAUCAGAGGUGUGAACUUGAACUCAAAACUUGUGACUCGACUACAUCCCACAAUCCAAGACUCAAGACUUCACUUGGAAUCGGAAUUCACUUCAAUUUGUUUCACUGUAUACAAGGUAGAAGUAUAUUGGGCUAGAAAGGUAUCAUGCUUCUGGCUAAGUCGGGCUACGAGGUGUAAGGAUUCGGGCCAAAAUACCAGAAUAUAUAUAUAAUAAAGGUGUAACACUGACACGUCGAUGACGUCAUCGAUUAGUUGCAAAGGAAAUAUUUUACAUUUAAAAUAAAUCUCGGGUUGAAAGGUUCAGACCAAGGGCUCGGGCCUAGACCGAAUCCAUCUCUAAAUGACAAGUAAAAGGACUUUUUACCACCUCUCAAUUGCGGAUUAUUACCUCCACCAACGACGUUGAACAGAGGGUAUGUUUUUGCCUCUGUUUGUUUGUGUGUUGGCCGCAAGGAUUAUAGCAAAAGUUAGUUGUCGAUUUUGAUCAAGCUUGGUACGAAGAUUAUAUAUGCUCAUAGUGAGAGGUCAUCAAAUUUUGAGUGGUACAGGUAAAAGCUCAAGAUAACACAAAAAGUAAAAAAUUCAUAUUCGACCGUAACUUUGGAACAUAUUGAGGUAAGGAGCUCAAAUUGGUGUCCUUAAAUAGUUUUAAUAAAAUCAUUCAUAUACCAAAAAAUUCCAUUCAGUAAAAUAACUAAUGGUGGAGGUUUGGGGUUUUCCAAGUGCCCAUUCUAGUAUUAAUUUUGAUAAGUUCUCCACCGAAGAUAUGUUUUUGCUUCUGUUUUGUUUUUUUGUCGUUAGUUUGUAUGUUUGUAAUUUAUUUAGGUUGUUUGUUUGUUACUCAUCAGGAUAACGCUAAAAGUUACAGAUUGAUUUUGAUCAAACUUAAAACGAAGAUUAUACAUAGUCACAGAAAGAACUCAAUAAAUUUCGUGAGGUCAAGGACAAGGUGGAGGAUUUGGGCUCUACCGAGUGCCCAUUCUAGUUUUAAUAUUGCGUUUGUAAAGGAUGACUUUAAACAUGAACAUUACAUUGGUCCUUAAAUGCGCCCGAGUGCUCCGUAAUGUUGGGGAUACAAAGACCAAAAAUGUUAUGUAGAUAAAAAAUGAAGAAAUAUUCUAAAGUUUUGAACCAUACUGAUACAUAUAAAGAAGGUUUCGCGGGCUCUUGAAGUUGUACAUUCAACUUUGGUAUUAUAUGUGAUGCUCAUAUAAUGACAAGAAGAAGUACAACUAAACUAACUACUAUUUUACUAAAUUUCACGUUUUUCAAACACAAAUAAGGUGUGCACUAUACCUGGUACAAUAUUAAAUUACUCUUGAUAUUUUUAUAAACAAUAAUCAU
rnacentral:lncRNA from 1 species